rnacentral:rRNA from 1 species
UUAAGCGACUAAGCGUACACGGUGGAUGCCCUGGCAGUCAGAGGCGAUGAAGGACGUGCUAAUCUGCGAAAAGCGUCGGUAAGGUGAUAUGAACCGUUAUAACCGGCGAUGUCCGAAUGGGGAAACCCAGUGCAAUUCGUUGCACUAUCGUUAACUGAAUACAUAGGUUAACGAGGCGAACCGGGGGAACUGAAACAUCUAAGUACCCCGAGGAAAAGAAAUCAACCGAGAUUCCCCCAGUAGCGGCGAGCGAACGGGGAGCAGCCCAGAGUCUGAAUCAGCUUGUGUGUUAGUGGAACGGUCUGGAAAGUCCGACGGUACAGGGUGAUAGUCCCGUACACCAAAAUGCACAGGCUGUGAACUCGAAGAGUAGGGCGGGACACGUGGUAUCCUGUCUGAAUAUGGGGGGACCAUCCUCCAAGGCUAAAUACUCCUGACUGACCGAUAGUGAACCAGUACCGUGAGGGAAAGGCGAAAAGAACCCCGGCGAGGGGAGUGAAAAAGAACCUGAAACCGUGUACGUACAAGCAGUGGGAGCACCUUCGGGUGUGACUGCGUACCUUUUGUAUAAUGGGUCAGCGACUUAUAUUCUGUAGCAAGGUUAACCGUAUAGGGGAGCCGCAGGGAAACCGAGUCUUAACUGGGCGUUAAGUUGCAGGGUAUAGACCCGAAACCCGGUGAUCUAGCCAUGGGCAGGUUGAAGGUUGGGUAACACUAACUGGAGGACCGAACCGACUAAUGUUGAAAAAUUAGCGGAUGACUUGUGGCUGGGGGUGAAAGGCCAAUCAAACCGGGAGAUAGCUGGUUCUCCCCGAAAGCUAUUUAGGUAGCGCCUCGUGAACUCAUCUUCGGGGGUAGAGCACUGUUUCGGCUAGGGGGUCAUCCCGACUUACCAACCCGAUGCAAACUACGAAUACCGAAGAAUGUUAUCACGGGAGACACACGGCGGGUGCUAACGUCCGUCGUGAAGAGGGAAACAACCCAGACCGCCAGCUAAGGUCCCAAAGUCAUGGUUAAGUGGGAAACGAUGUGGGAAGGCACAGACAGCCAGGAUGUUGGCUUAGAAGCAGCCAUCAUUUAAAGAAAGCGUAAUAGCUCACUGGUCGAGUCGGCCUGCGCGGAAGAUGUAACGGGGCUAAACCAUGCACCGAAGCUGCGGCAGCGACACUAUGUGUUGUUGGGUAGGGGAGCGUUCUGUAAGCCUGCGAAGGUGACCUGUGAGGGUUGCUGGAGGUAUCAGAAGUGCGAAUGCUGACAUAAGUAACGAUAAAGCGGGUGAAAAGCCCGCUCGCCGGAAGACCAAGGGUUCCUGUCCAACGUUAAUCGGGGCAGGGUGAGUCGACCCCUAAGGCGAGGCCGAAAGGCGUAGUCGAUGGGAAACAGGUUAAUAUUCCUGUACUUGGUGUUACUGCGAAGGGGGGACGGAGAAGGCUAUGUUAGCCGGGCGACGGUUGUCCCGGUUUAAGCAUGUAGGCUGAUUGUCCAGGCAAAUCCGGAUAAUCAAGGCUGAGGUGUGAUGACGAGGCACUACGGUGCUGAAGUAACAAAUGCCCUGCUUCCAGGAAAAGCCUCUAAGCAUCAGGUAACAUCAAAUCGUACCCCAAACCGACACAGGUGGUCAGGUAGAGAAUACCAAGGCGCUUGAGAGAACUCGGGUGAAGGAACUAGGCAAAAUGGUGCCGUAACUUCGGGAGAAGGCACGCUGGUGUGUAGGUGAAGCCCCUGCGGGUGGAGCUGAGACCAGUCGAAGAUACCAGCUGGCUGCAACUGUUUAUUAAAAACACAGCACUGUGCAAACACGAAAGUGGACGUAUACGGUGUGACGCCUGCCCGGUGCCGGAAGGUUAAUUGAUGGGGUUAUCCGUAAGGAGAAGCUCUUGAUCGAAGCCCCGGUAAACGGCGGCCGUAACUAUAACGGUCCUAAGGUAGCGAAAUUCCUUGUCGGGUAAGUUCCGACCUGCACGAAUGGCGUAAUGAUGGCCAGGCUGUCUCCACCCGAGACUCAGUGAAAUUGAACUCGCUGUGAAGAUGCAGUGUACCCGCGGCAAGACGGAAAGACCCCGUGAACCUUUACUAUAGCUUGACACUGAACAUUGAGCCUUGAUGUGUAGGAUAGGUGGGAGGCUUUGAAGCGUGGACGCCAGUCUGCGUGGAGCCAACCUUGAAAUACCACCCUUUAAUGUUUGAUGUUCUAACGUUGGCCCCUGACCGGGGUUGCGGACAGUGUCUGGUGGGUAGUUUGACUGGGGCGGUCUCCUCCCAAAGCGUAACGGAGGAGCACGAAGGUUAGCUAAUCCUGGUCGGACAUCAGGAGGUUAGUGCAAUGGCAUAAGCUAGCUUGACUGCGAGCGUGACGGCGCGAGCAGGUGCGAAAGCAGGUCAUAGUGAUCCGGUGGUUCUGAAUGGAAGGGCCAUCGCUCAACGGAUAAAAGGUACUCCGGGGAUAACAGGCUGAUACCGCCCAAGAGUUCAUAUCGACGGCGGUGUUUGGCACCUCGAUGUCGGCUCAUCACAUCCUGGGGCUGAAGUAGGUCCCAAGGGUAUGGCUGUUCGCCAUUUAAAGUGGUACGCGAGCUGGGUUUAGAACGUCGUGAGACAGUUCGGUCCCUAUCUGCCGUGGGCGCUGGAGAAUUGAGGGGGGCUGCUCCUAGUACGAGAGGACCGGAGUGGACGCAUCACUGGUGUUCGGGUUGUCAUGCCAAUGGCACUGCCCGGUAGCUAAAUGCGGAAGAGAUAAGUGCUGAAAGCAUCUAAGCACGAAACUUGCCCCGAGAUGAGUUCUCCCUGAGACUUUAAGUCUCCUGAAGGAACGUUAAAGACGAUGACGUUGAUAGGCCGGGUGUGUAAGCGCAGCGAUGCGUUGAGCUAACCGGUACUAAUGAACCGUGAGGCUUAACCUU